rnacentral:misc_RNA from 1 species
AACGCACCUUGCGCUCCUUGGUAUUCCGAGGAGCAUGCCUGUUUGAGUGUCAUUAAAUUCUCAACCUCACCAGUUUUGUAAUGAGACUGUGUGUUGGCUUGGAUGUGGGGGUUGCAGGUCCGCUCUGCGGUCUGCUCCUCUGAAAUGUAUUAGUGGGUUUGGUCCCCUAUCUAUUGGUGUGAUAAUUAUCUACGCCGUGGAGAGGAAGGCUAUUAUGAACCUGCUUCUAACCGUCCCUCACCGGACAAUACUUGACAAUUUUGACCUCAAAUCAGGUAAGACUACCCGCUGAACUUAA